UACGUAGGGGGCAAGCGUUGUCCGGAUUUAUUGGGCGUAAAGAGCGUGUAGGCGGCCAGGCAGGUCCGCUGUGAAAACUCGAGGCUCAACCUCGAGAGGUCGGUGGAAACCGUCUGGCUAGAGUCCGGAAGAGGAGAGUGGAAUUCCCGGUGUAGCGGUGAAAUGCGCAGAUAUCGGGAAGAACACCCGUGGCGAAGGCGGCUCUCUGGACCGUAACUGACGCUGAGGAGCGAAAGCGUGGGGAGCGAACAGG
rnacentral:rRNA from 1 species